rnacentral:rRNA from 1 species
UACGUAGGGGGCGAGCGUUAUCCGGAAUUACUGGGCGUAAAGCGCACGCAGGCGGUUCGCCAAGCUUGGAGUGACAGUUGUCGGCUCAACCGACAAAGGACUUCAAAAACUGGUGAACUUGAGGACGAGAGAGGAACAUGGAACUCCAGGUGUAGUAGUGAUAUGCGUAGAUAUCUGGAAGAACACCAAUGGCGAAGGCAAUGUUCUGGCUCGUUUCUGACGCUCAGGUGCGAAAGCCAGGGGAGCGAACGGG